rnacentral:rRNA from 1 species
GGGGUAGAAGGAUUGCUUGCAAGACUUUGAGACCGGCGAACGGGUGCGUAACGCGUAUGCAACCUACCUUUAUCAGGGGGAUAGCCCAGAGAAAUUUGGAUUAAUACCGCAUAAUAAGAGUCAUGGCAUCAUGAUUUUUUGAAAGAUUUAUUGGAUAGAGAUGGGCAUGCGUAGGAUUAGCUAGUUGGUGAGGUAACGGCUCACCAAGGCGACGAUCCUUAGGGGCUCUGAGAGGAGUAACCCCCACACUGGUACUGAGAUACGGACCAGACUCCUACGGGAGGCAGCAGUAGGGAAUAUUGGACAAUGGGCGGAAGCCUGAUCCAGCCAUGCCGCGUGCAGGAAGACGGCCCUCUGGGUUGUAAACUGCUUUUAUAUGGGAAGAAAAUGGCUUUGCGAAGCAAAUUGACGGUACCAUAGGAAUAAGCCACGGCUAACUACGUGCCAGCAGCCGCGGUAAUACGUAGGUGGCGAGCGUUAUCCGGAUUUAUUGGGUUUAAAGGGUGCGUAGGCGGCUUUUUAAGUCGGUGGUGAAAGGUAGCAGCUUAACUGUUUUACAUGCCAUCGAUACUGAAGAGCUUGAGUUAUCAGAAGGCAGGCGGAAUUUCUGGUGUAGCGGUGAAAUGCAUAGAUACCAGAAGGAACACCUAUUGCGAAGGCAGCUUGCUGCAGAUAAACUGACGCUGAUGCACGAAAGCGUGGGGAGCGAACAGGAUUAGAUACCCUGGUAGUCCACGCCGUAAACGAUGAUUACUAGUUGUUGGCGAUAUACAGUCAGUGACCAAGGGAAACCGAUAAGUAAUCCACCUGGGGAGUACGCCGGCAACGGUGAAACUCAAAGGAAUUGACGGGGG